AUUGAACGCUGGCGGCAUGCCUUACACAUGCAAGUCGAACGGCAGCACGGGAGCAAUCCUGGUGGCGAGUGGCGAACGGGUGAGUAAAGUAUCGGAACGUGCCCAGUCGUGGGGGAUAACGUAGCGAAAGUUACGCUAAUACCGCAUACGAGCUAUGGAUGAAAGCGGGGGAUCGCAAGACCUCGCGCGAUUGGAGCGGCCGAUAUCAGAUUAGGUAGUUGGUGGGGUAAAGGCUCACCAAGCCGACGAUCUGUAGCUGGUCUGAGAGGACGACCAGCCACACUGGGACUGAGACACGGCCCAGACUCCUACGGGAGGCAGCAGUGGGGAAUUUUGGACAAUGGGCGAAAGCCUGAUCCAGCCAUGCCGCGUGCAGGAUGAAGGCCUUCGGGUUGUAAACUGCUUUUGUACGGAACGAAAAGGUUUGGGCUAAUAAGCUGAGCUCAUGACGGUACCGUAAGAAUAAGCACCGGCUAACUACGUGCCAGCAGCCGCCGUAACAC
rnacentral:rRNA from 1 species